rnacentral:rRNA from 1 species
CACCGCGGUUAUACGAGAGGCUCAAGCUGACGGACCCUCGGCGUAAAGUGUGGUUAGAAUUCUGUUUUUAAACUAAGGCCGAAUGCCCUCAAAACUGUUAUACGUAAUUGAAUGCUAGAAGCCCCCUUACGAAAGUAGCCUUAUUUUAUUGAACCCACGAAAGCUAAGACA